GAUGAACGCUGGCGGCGUGCCUAAUACAUGCAAGUCGAGCGAACGGACGAGAAGCUUGCUUUUCUGAUGUUAGCGGCGGACGGGUGAGUAACACGUGGAUAACCUACCUAUAAGACUGGGAUAACUUCGGGAAACCGGAGCUAAUACCGGAUAAUAUUUUGAACCGCAUGGUUCAAAAGUGAAAGACGGUCUUGCUGUCACUUAUAGAUGGAUCCGCGCUGCAUUAGCUAGUUGGUAAGGUAACGGCUUACCAAGGCAACGAUGCAUAGCCGACCUGAGAGGGUGAUCGGCCACACUGGAACUGAGACACGGUCCAGACUCCUACGGGAGGCAGCAGUAGGGAAUCUUCCGCAAUGGGCGAAAGCCUGACGGAGCAACGCCGCGUGAGUGAUGAAGGUCUGCGGAUCGUAAAACUCUGUUAUUAGGGAAGAACAUAUGUGUAAGUAACUGUGCACAUCUUGACGGUACCUAAUCAGAAAGCCACGGCUAACUACGU
rnacentral:rRNA from 1 species